UGGGGUAUAUUGCACAAUGGGGGAAACCCUGAUGCAGCGACGCCGCGUGAGGGAAGAAGGUUUUCGGAUUGUAAACCUCUGUCUUUGGGGAAGAAGAUGACGGUACCCAAGGAGGAAGCUCCGGCUAACUACGUGCCAGCAGCCGCGGUAAUACGUAGGGAGCAAGCGUUGUCCGGAAUUACUGGGUGUAAAGGGAGCGUAGGCGGGAGUGCAAGUUGAAUGUGAAAUUUAUGGGCUCAACCCAUAAACUGCGUUCAAAACUGUGCAUCUUGAGUGAAGUAGAGGCAGACGGAAUUCCUAGUGUAGCGGUGAAAUGCGUAGAUAUUAGGAGGAACACCAGUGGCGAAGGCGGUCUGCUGGGCUUUAACUGACGCUGAGGCUCGAAAGCGUGGGUAGCAAACAGG
rnacentral:rRNA from 2 species